GUUUCUGCUGAGCACAGUGAACUCCUCUUUUUCUGUUUCUAUCCCAUAUUUUCUGUUUUGUUUUGUUUUUGUUUAUUUAUUUAUUUAUUUAUUUAUUUGGUUACCGCAUUAUCAUAGGAAAAGAAAGUGAGCAAGUAAAAAAAUUUGAAGGCUUUGCGAUUGAGGAGAUUCUAGAAUAUGGGAUGGAGCUUGACUAACACAAGCUCAUCCAAAGGUGGGGCUCUGAUAAUUAUGCAGUGAGGAGGAUGCAUGUAUAUCAAUUAAAGGGUGCUGCACACUGCCAGCCUCACCUCGCCCUGCUCACGUCAAAGCAGGCUUGGCGGCAGGUACUACAAGUUGAACAUGUGAAAUACAGAAAGCAAGGAAACAGCCACCUCCUUCCACGAGGAGCCAUCUGGACUAUAGAGAUGCACUCACCCCAAGUCAAGUCUCAUGCUGGGCUGUAACCUUGACCUUGGUCUCCACACUGGCCACAAAGUGGGAGAUAGCACACCAUCUACUCCUCUGAAGAGCUACAUGGGGGCAAAGUCUUCCUUGUCUCAAUUUGCUUUAAAGUCAGAAAGGGCCCUGCUAAACAAGUUAGCAUCAGAUCAUUUCCUCUCAUGAUGUCCCAAACCUGGAUAUCUAGAAGCCUCCGAAAGCAGCUACCUGUUCACCUUGUGUGUGGGGAUUGGUGAUCUGAAGGUGCAUUCUGAAGGAGGGGGCUGUCUCCCUCAUCUUUGCAUUCCUGUUCCCUGGUACACAGGUAAGCAGAAGAAAUGCCCAUGAAUGCUUAGGAAGAGACCUUAUAAACAAGUAACCUGAGCCAUAUGCUGUGAGGCGGAGCAUCGCUGGCCCUCCAGCUCUUCUCUGAAUAGUAGUUCUGUUCUUGCCUAUGUUGACAUUUGAGAUCCUCUUGAGACUUCACAGCCUGUGGGAUGAUCAGGGUUCCCCACCCCACUGCCUCCCCGAUACCAUCCUUCUCCCUAGCACUUGGCUCCUUCGGAAGCACAUCUACGGUCAGCUUCAACUACCAACAAUCCUAGGAAACAGGUGCCACAUCCUCCCCACCAGCUCAGGCCUGAUUCCAACCCAAACUCAUUUAACCCUGGACUGGCCUGUCAGAGUCUGAGAUUCUCAUCCAGCUUUUAUCCCUGAACACAGGUUGACUGAAGCAAGGCCUGGGUAUGGGAUUUCACCCUGGCUAUGAUGGCAUAGCACCAAGUAUUUGGGACAUAAUGGGGGGAAAAAGCUAACCAGCUGUUUCUAAACAUCCAGAUGUCUGCCAGAGGGAACAGAAACAUCCUGGCAUCUGCCUGACUAACUGGGUAUAUUGUCCAAGUAGAAGGGCAGAGGUCCCGGGACCAGGCUGACUGGUGCCCUGUGUUGGCCAGUCUAGAGGUGUUACCUGGUCUCUGUGUGAGGUGAAAUAUGGCCUGAAGACCACAGACUAAAGCCUCUCCUUCUGGAAGUUUCCUCUAGAAAAGAAGCUUGGCAGGGUGGGGAUGGAGGUGGGAUCGGGGAGGGGGGAUGAGAGCAGUCUUCACUAAUUAUCCCACUCAACUAGAUACAUAUGGCUCAUAUUUGUAGGUGCCCCCAGUGUGGCCAGGUCAACAUUUCCCUCUCUGCUUUCAGUUCCCAGGGAACACAGUUUAACCAAAACCACAUUAAAAAGCUCAGUGUCUUCUGGUUCUAACUCAGUUCCUCCAAAUAAUUUUCUUCUUUUUUAUGCAAGAGAGGAUUUGGAAGUCCACCGAUCAUCCUUGAAAACAUCCAUUCAACACCCAUUUACUAAAUGCUUAUGUGUUGGGCAUCGUCAGCACUUUUAAUGAACCUGAUGACAAUAAGACUAAGCAAUAAUUAUAUUAAUGAUGAUGAUUAUGAUAAUAAUCGCUAAUAUGUAUUGACCCUUUAUGUGCCUCACUGAAUAAUCUCUUUAUUUGAAUUUUUUUCAUUUAAUGGAUCAAGCCACCCUAAAAAUGCAUACAGCUAUUAUCUCCUUGAAAGCUCAGAGAGAUCAAGUAACUGACCCAAAGCCACACAGCUUAUAGACCAUGGAGUUCGAAUCUGAACCCAAUCUGCUUGAGUGUGGAGACCAUACACUUAACCAUGGCAGUUUCAUCACACAUCUGCACAGCACACGUGGUAGAGAGGCCCCUGCCUUGGUACGGUGAUUUCGCAACUCCAGGGAACACCAUGCAUGGCAUCCCAUGAGACUGCCACCUGUAGGAGUCAUGUGCUCUACCGGAUACAAGGAAAAUGUGUCCCCACACUGAGCUGUGAGACAAAGAGGAUCCAGCCUAGCUCACUUAGAGCCUCUAGAAGCAUAGGAAAACAAGUCCUAUAUAGGGAUAGCUAUAUAAGUCUUUGCAUUACCAGUGGUCUCUAAUACAGAGGGUGGCAU
rnacentral:lncRNA from 1 species